AAAGAGGAAGGAGCGAAAGGUGUUACUUGAAAAUUUCAAUCUAAACCUAUUUUUUCCAUUUUUUUUUCAAUUUUUUUUCAAUUUUUUUUUCAAUUUUUUU
rnacentral:ribozyme from 12 species